CAUUAGAUGACUGAAAAGCAAGUAUUGGCCUCUUAAGCCAUUUAAAAAUAGAAUAGCAACUAUUUCUAAUGA
rnacentral:tRNA from 1 species